rnacentral:rRNA from 1 species
UACGUAGGGUGCGAGCGUUGUCCGGAAUUAUUGGGCGUAAAGAGCUCGUAGGCGGUCUGUCGCGUCGGAUGUGAAAGCCCGGGGCUUAACUCCGGGUCUGCAUUCGAUACGGGCAGACUAGAGUGUGGUAGGGGAGAUCGGAAUUCCUGGUGUAGCGGUGAAAUGCGCAGAUAUCAGGAGGAACACCGGUGGCGAAGGCGGAUCUCUGGGCCGAUACUGACGCUGAGACGCGAAAGCAUGGGGAGCGAACAGG